UGUGGUUGAACACUGUUGGACCAAAAUUCUCCAGCCAGCUUGCAAAGAGCAGUUGAAAUGAUACUAUGGCUUCAUUUCAGAAAAGCAAUUGUAAGGUAAGACAACUGCUAAAUUGCUAGCAUCUACUGCAUCAAGAUGACUUAAGAAUUAGGCCCAGGCCUGGGUUAUUAUCUCGUUAGAGUUGCAAUCUGAAGUCACAAUUAGAUUCUCCAGUUUCAGCUGUGACAUCUUUCUCAUCACUCACAGAAAACAGAUGUUUGACACUGGUAAAUCCUCAGAGGAUGAAGAUGUUUCUAAGUAGGUUUGCUGCUCAUGGGACCUUUCAGCCUGAAGAAAAAUGUUGUCAUUGUUGUCAUAAACAUUUCUCAAAACCUAAAAAGUGAGAA